ensembl:lncRNA
GCGGUUUUCUUCCUUGGCCUUUUGUUUUUUGGAAUUUUGACUUGGAAGUCUUUUUGUUUUUUCCCGCGGCCUUGCCAGGACACCGUCAGCGGCUAGGAUACGUUUUGAUUCAGGGUGAAACAAGACAACAGGUUUAUAGUGGGCGCAUCCUGGAAUUACAUAUUACAUUCACAUGUUAAAGUGCUUUACAGACGUGAAAUGCGAAAACACCGGGGAUUAGUCUAUUAGGUUAAUUAUUAUCAUCAGUAUAAAAGCAGAAUGGAACAGUUGGUGCGACCUUUGCUCAGUAGAAAUAUAUUCAUAAAAGCUAUAGAAAGAAAAGAUAAGAAAGUACUGACGGACCCUCGCAAAGUGAACGAGUUUCCUGAGUUCAAGAUCAACAAAAACUAUCCGACUGAUUUCAACCAGAAUCAGCGAUCCGUUCUUAAAAGACGAGUUACCAAGUGUGCCGCAGAUAAAAGAUGAGCAGCGUCAUCAUGUUGCCAAGGUUGUAGUUUCUCCACAAGAAGCAAACAACACCUUUGUGGAGUUUCAUACCAGCGAUAUUGGGGCUCAUUGUGGUAUUGAAAAGUCCUUGGAUGCAAUCCUUCAAAAAUGUAUUAGUGGCCUGGCAUGAAGGCUGACAUUUAAAAAUGGGUGAGUAUUUCUAGCUCCAUAUUCCAGGGGAGCUUAUGGUAAUAUUUACAUAUUCAGUAUAAGAGUGUUGCAUUGUUUCACUAGAUUGUCCAAUGAGACGCUUGCCAGAAAAAGAGGACCUCUAUGAAAGAGAAUUCAUUACAAACCAAUAGAGGUGACCGAGCCCUUUGAGCUUGUGGGAAUGGAACUAGUUGGCAAGCUGAAAUGCACCAACAAUGGUUACAUGUACAUUUGUGUGAUGGUGGACUACUUUACAAAGUGGAUAGAAGACUACCUGCUAAGAACAAAUGGAGCAGAAGAAGUCACACUCUGCAUAAUGGACUUCUUC